rnacentral:rRNA from 1 species
AUGGAUUGCAACAUCCUUGUGUGGAACGUGCGCGGGCUAAACAACCCGGCACGGCGUGGAGUGGUUAGGUCUGUCAUCAGGUCACACAAUGUGGCGAUGGCUUGUAUCCAGGAGAGCAAAUUAGAGUUUGUGGAUUUAGGGAUAGUGCAACAAUGUUGUGGUCAAGAGUUCAAUGAAUUCACCUUCGCACCGGCUGUAGGAACAAGGGGAGGCAUCAUUCUGGCGUGGAAGGGUGACAAGUUCAACCUACCGCACAUCAACAUCAAUGCUAAUUUCAUUGCUGCACAUGGACGGACAAGCUCUGGAUCCCCUUUCGGGAUGCUCACGGUGUAUGGACCACAGGACUUCAGCGACAAACUCCAAUUCUUGGCAAACAUGAAGACGGCUUAUCAACAGUUUCCGCAAGAUACCCCGGUUUUCUUAGGCGGGGACUUCAACCUGAUUGCGCAAGCAUCUGAUAAAAGCAACAACAACAUCAGCCGAAGAGGCAUAACAGCGUUUAGAGGAUUCAUCAAUGAUCUGCAACUCAAAGACCUGUACUUGCAAGGCCGCCGAUACACUUGGAGUAAUGAUCAAGCGAGAGCAACGAUGGUUAAACUGGAUCGCGUUCUGUUCAAUGACAGUUGGGACGCUGCUUUCCCGGGUAGCCUACUCCAGGCGCUCUCCUCGGAGAUCUCCGACCACUGCACGUUGUUGCUGACGUGUGACGCACCAUUCAGGCCUACUAGACACUUCCGCUUCGAGAAUUACUGGGUGAAGAUGGAGAAUUUUGACCAAGUGGUGCAACAUGCUUGGCAUUAG